UACGUAGGGUGCAAGCGUUAUCCGGAAUUAUUGGGCGUAAAGAGCUCGUAGGCGGUUUGUCGAGUCUGCUGUGAAAACUGGGGGCUCAACCCCCAGCCUGCAGUGGGUACGGGCAGACUAGAGUGCGGUAGGGGAGAUUGGAAUUCCUGGUGUAGCGGUGGAAUGCGCAGAUAUCAGGAGGAACACCGAUGGCGAAGGCAGAUCUCUGGGCCGUAACUGACGCUGAGGAGCGAAAGCAUGGGGAGCGAACAGG
rnacentral:rRNA from 1 species